UCCCAGAUGGCUCAGUGGUAAAGAAUCUGCCCUCAAAGCAGGAGAUGUGGGUUCAAUCCCUGGUUUGGGAA
rnacentral:tRNA from 1 species